rnacentral:rRNA from 1 species
GGAGUCUAGCAUGUGCGCGAGUCAUUGGGACUAGCGAAACCUAAAGGCGAAAUGAAAGUGAAAGUCGGCCUCGCGCCGACCUAGGGAGGAUGGGUCGCGUUACGGCGAGACCCCGCACUCCCGGGGCGUCUCAUUCUCAUUGCGAGAAGAGGCGCACCAAGAGCGUACACGCUGGGACCCGAAAGAUGGUGAACUAUGCCUGGUCAGGACGAAGUCAGGGGAAACCCUGAUGGAGGUCCGAAGCGAUUCUGACGUGCAAAUCGAUCGUCGGAACUGGGUAUAGGGGCGAAAGACUAAUCGAACCAUCUAGUAGCUGGUUCCCUCCGAAGUUUCCCUCAGGAUAGCUGGCGCUCGCUUUUGCGAGUCUCAUCUGGUAAAGCGAAUGAUUAGAGGCAUUGGGGUCGAAACGGCCUCAACCUAUUCUCAAACUUUAAAUGGGUGAGAUCUCCGGCUUGCUUGAAACGUGAAGCCGCGAGAUCGGAUCAGAGUGCCAAGUGGGCCAUUUUUGGUAAGCAGAACUGGCGCUGUGGGAUGAACCAAACGCAGAGUUAAAGCUCCAAAAUCAACGCUUAUGGGAUACCAUGAAAGGCGUUGGUAACUUAAGACAGCAGGACGGUGGCCAUGGAA